CUAUUAUAUUUUGUUGUACUCUCAGGAGCGAGGUUGUGUUGUGAAUAUUGUAUGUACAGUGGGUUUGGUAUGUUUUUAUUUAUAUGUUUCAGUUUUAGCAGCUUUAUACUUCUGGUUGUAGCUAUGAUUUAUUUACAGGUACAACUAGCGGUUCGUAUAAACAAAAAAUUUCUAUAUAUACGGUGGGUUUGUUGGCGUGCCUGGGGAAACAUGAUAAUCUGGGGCAUGACAUUGUAGCAUUUAUAAUUGUUUGUAAGUUGUGAAAAUAAUUUUCUACCCCUCGUGGUAUACCCCUUAUGGUAGUGUGUUUAAAGAAAAGGUUUCCGCGUGGGAAACAAUUUUAAAAGGUUUUCUUGCGAAAAUGUAAAUAUACGCUGUGUUGUGAAUGGUUGUGGUUGUACUUAUACUCGUGCGACGCCGUGCAAAUACAGGGAAUGCUUUGUUCAUGUGAUCAGUGAGUUUCCUGUAUUUAUGGCUGGUCUGUCAUCUCUUGGGUCAAGAUUUUCAAAAGAAAAAAAAAGGUUUGGGCAUUUUUUCGCUGGCUUACAACUAAAAAGGGACCCCGAAGCAUGACAACUCAACCCUAAGGGGCUAAUAUCAUUCUAACCCUACAAUUUCUUAUUCAGAAGUUAAAAACUUAAUAGCAAAAGGGGCGAAGUACUAUCAAUAGUAUUCCAGCACAACUCUCUCUCUCU
rnacentral:lncRNA from 1 species